rnacentral:rRNA from 1 species
UACGUAGGGGGCGAGCGUUGUCCGGAGUUACUGGGCGUAAAGCGCACGCAGGCGGUCUGUGAAGUUUGGAGUGACAGUUGGUGGCUCAACCACCAAAGUGCUUUGAAAACUGAUAGACUUGAGGGCUUCAGAGGGACACGGAAUUCCGGGUGGAGUGGUGAAAUGCGUAGAUAUCAGGAGGAACACCGGUGGUGUAAACGGCUUUCUGGACCGUAACUGACGCUGAGGCACGAAAGCGUGGGUAGCAAACAGG